rnacentral:rRNA from 1 species
AUACGGAGGAUCCGAGCGUUAUCCGGAUUUAUUGGGUUUAAAGGGUGCGCAGGCGGCCAUUUAGGUCAGCGGUUAAAUCGUGGGGCUCAACCCCAUUCUGCCGUUGAUACUGGGUGGCUUGAUUGCGGUCGAGGUUGGCGGAAUUCGUUGUGUAGCGGUGAAAUGCAUAGAUAUGACGAAGAGCACCGAUUGCGUAGGCAGCUGACCAGACCGCAAAUGACGCUCAUGCACGAAAGUGCGGGGAUCGAACAGGAUUAGAUACCCUGGUAGUCCGCACAGUAAACGAUGAAUACUUGUUUUCGGCGAUAUAAUGUCGGAGGCAAAGCGAAAGCGAUAAGUAUUCCACCUGGGGAGUACGCCGGCAACGGUGAAACUCAAAUGAAUUGACGGGG